rnacentral:rRNA from 1 species
AGAACGAACGCUGGCGGCAUGCCUAAUACAUGCAAGUCGAACGAACUCUUCGGAGUUAGUGGCGCACGGGUGCGUAACGCGUGGGAAUCUGCCCUUGGGUUCGGAAUAACAGUUGGAAACGACUGCUAAUACCGGAUGAUGACGAAAGUCCAAAGAUUUAUCGCCCAGGGAUGAGCCCGCGUAGGAUUAGCUAGUUGGUGAGGUAAAGGCUCACCAAGGCGACGAUCCUUAGCUGGUCUGAGAGGAUGAUCAGCCACACUGGGACUGAGACACGGCCCAGACUCCUACGGGAGGCAGCAGUAGGGAAUAUUGGACAAUGGGCGAAAGCCUGAUCCAGCAAUGCCGCGUGAGUGAUGAAGGCCUUAGGUUGUAAAGCUCUUUUACCCGAGAUGAUAAUGACAGUAUCGGAGAAUAAGCCCCGGACUAACUCCGACGCCAGCAGCCGC